rnacentral:rRNA from 1 species
GAUGAACGCUAGCUACAGGCUUAACACAUGCAAGUCGAGGGGCAUCAUGCGGAUUGCUUGCGAUCCGUGAUGGCGACCGGCGCACGGGUGAGUAACGCGUAUCCAACCUUCCCGCUGCUGGGGGAUAACCCGGUGAAAGCCGGACUAAUACCCCAUAAUCCCCGUUGACGGCAUCCGAUUCGGGGCAAAGUUUUUUUCGGCAGCGGAUGGGGAUGCGUCCGAUUAGUUAGUUGGUGAGGUAACGGCUCACCAAGGCUUUGAUCGGUAGGGGUUCUGAGAGGAAGGCCCCCCACAUUGGGACUGAGACACGGCCCAAACUCCUACGGGAGGCAGCAGUGAGGAAUAUUGGUCAAUGGGCGCAAGCCUGAACCAGCCAAGUAGCGUGGAGGACGACUGCCCUAUGGGUUGUAAACUCCUUUUAUGCGGGGAUAAAGUGCCUCACGUGUGGGGUAUUGCAGGUACCGCAUGAAUAAGGACCGGCUAAUUCCGUGCCAGCAGCCGCGGUAAUACGGAAGGUCCCGGCGUUAUCCGGAUUUAUUGGGUUUAAAGGGAGCGCAGACUGCUUGUCAAGCGUGCAGUGAAACGCCGUGGCCCAACCACGGUCCUGCUGCGCGAACUGGCUUGCUUGAGUGGGCCGUAGGUACGCGGAAUUCGUGGUGUAGCGGUGAAAUGCUUAGAUAUCACGAGGAACUCCGAUUGCGAAGGCAGCGUACCAUAUCCCAACUGACGUUUAGGCUCGAAGGUGCGGGUAUCGAACAGG